UUUAAAUUCAUAUUUUGUUCUUACUUUAUUUUCGGUAGAAUUAAUCAACAAUUCCCCCCUUGUGUUUUUCAAUUUGUUUCAUACGGUAGUUUAACAUUCUAGUUUUCUUUGUUUUAUAGGUUACAUAAAUUGAAGGUGAACCCUUGAUCCUUGGCGUAGAACGAUCCCUUACUUUCACUACUACAACUUGACAACAAAAAGGGUUUUAAAUUGCGUGCUAUUUUUAGCAGAGCAUCAAACUAGGAAUUGCACUAGUUAAAAACGCAACCAAGCAAGAGGAUGAGAGUUAGUGAUACCUUGUCUAGUUUGAGAAUCAGAAGCAACGGGAAUCUGGAGCUCAUAGAUAUGAAAAGAGCAUGUACAAAAGGCAGAUGCGGAAUGGAGCAAAGGAAACUGGACAGGAGGAUAUGUUAAAGGCAAACGUGAUAGUGACACAGUCAGGCAAGUCCUUGUCUAAACACCAGUGAUCUUGCCAGAAUUGAGGGUUUAUCUAAUGUACUAGUUGGGAAUUCAAACAUGUAUCAUGUAUCAGUAGAUGACAUUUUAGACUUCUGAUUAUGUUCUGCACAGCCUCGUUUGGAUAUGGUAGAUGUAAGAAAAACGUAAACUGAAUUUUGUAUUUCUGAACAUUGUAAUGUUUGACAAAAUUGUA